CAGAUUUGGAUAGGGUUUUGGGUGCUUCAGUUGUAACGACCCAGCCCACUAGCAACAAUAACUCGUUGGGCCCAACCACUGGCCCAAAAUACUUAAGCUCAGUUAUUAUUACUAGUGUCUAAGUCUCUUAUAAAUCUAAUGACAACCCUAUUCCCAUCCGAUGUGGGAUUAUUGGGGUGUCACAGACUCCCCGCGUUAAAGCCCUGACGUCCUCGUCAGUCCAAUCACACACACAACCCAAGAUUACCAGGCGAUGUGAGACUCAUCUCGCUAGCCCGUCAUCCAGACCCUGGCUGAGCCGAGACUCGCCACACAUGUCCAGCUGGUGAACCGGCUUUGAUACCAUAUAUAACGACCCAGCCCACUAGCAAUAAUAAUUCGUUGGGCCCAACCACAGCCCAAAAUGCUUAAGCCCAGUUAUUAUUACUAGUGUCUAAGUCUCUUAUAAACCCAAUGACAACCCCAACUCGUUGGGCCCAACCACCGGCCCAAAAUGCUUAAGCCCAGUUAUUAUUACUAGUGUCUAAGUCUCUUAUAAAUCUAAUGACAACCCCAUUCCCAUCCGAUGUGGGAUUAUUGGGGUGUCACAG
rnacentral:lncRNA from 1 species